UACGUAGGGGGCAAGCGUUGUCCGGAAUUAUUGGGCGUAAAGAGCUCGUAGGCGGUCUGUCGCGUCGGACGUGAAAACCCAGGGCUCAACCCUGGGCCUGCGUUCGAUACGGGCAGGACUAGAGUUCGGUAGGGAGGACUGGAAUUCCUGGUGUAGCGGUGAAAUGCGCAGAUAUCAGGAGGAACACCGGUGGCGAAGGCGGGUCUCUGGGCCGAAACUGACGCUGAGGAGCGAAAGCGUGGGGAGCGAACAGG
rnacentral:rRNA from 1 species